UUGACGCGGUUAGGUCGUUUCUGGUGGUUAACCCAGUCAAUGUGGGAGACUCGGUAAUGUCCAUGAAAGAGGCUAUUUAGCGAGUAAAUUCCGCAAGAAACAGUCGUUAUUUGUUGAAGGACCACUUCAGGCUUCUGUUUGAAGCGGCUGAGUUUCACCUCUGCGUGGAGCUGAAUCAGAAAUCAUCGGAGCCGCGGGAGAAGGUAAGGAGAGAUGUCGUACUACAACUCCCGUAGUUCAUCUCGGGCCACUGACUGUAAAGUGUACGUGGGUGAUUUAGGCAAUGGUGCUGCCAAGGGGGAGCUGGAGCGAGCAUUCAGUUAUUAUGGCCCACUGAGGACCGUCUGGGUGGCCAGGAACCCACCUGGGUUUGCCUUUGUGGAGUUUGAGGAUCCCAGAGAUGCAGAAGAUGCUGUGAAAGGCAUGGAUGGAAAGGUCCUUUGUGGUUCCCGUGUUCGUGUGGAGAUGUCAACAGGCCUCUCCAGGAAGGGCCGUGGGCGCCCCAGCCGACGCCAGUUUGACCCCAAUGAUCGGUGUUACCAGUGCGGGGACCGGGGCCACUAUGCCUAUGACUGCUAUCGCUUCAGCAAGAGAGGAGGCCGCCGCAGCAGCAGGUCUCGCUCUCGUUCUCGAUCUCGCUCCAGGUCCAGGUCCCGUGGGCGCCGUUAUCGUUCUCGCUCUCGCAGCCGCAGCCACAGCCGGAGCCGUCGCCGAUCUCCAUCCUAUUCCAGGCGCAGGAGCAGGUCUGGCUCCCCAGCACGUUCCAAGUCCAGGACUCCAGUGAGAAGUCGUUCCAGAUCUCGUUCUCGGUCCGGCUCUGCGCCCAGAGGACGCUCUGUCUCCCGAUCCCGCUCGCGAUCGCAGUCUGCCACUCACAAGAGGAACAGUGGUGGGAGCUGAGCACUGCACUGACAACGCAGAUCAGCCUUCGCCUGCAUCUGGUGUUAGACAGCGAGAAAGAGGUCGACCUACCGACCGAACCCGCCCAACAGUGAAUGGGUGACCGUCUGUUCAACCGACGCACACGCUCAGACGAGAUCAGCCCGCGCACACAUACAGUUGCUCUACUAGAAUCACCCAGCCAGCCAGCCAGCCUUCAGAUGUACCAGAGGGCUGACCCACACAGAUCAGAGUUCGACCACUACCUUUUUAAAUCCAUUACCUACCUACCAGACCCCCUACCUACCAGAGUUCUUCGGCCUCUGUCUUAGCUUCUGAAAGUGAGAGAAAGAGAGCUGACGAGAGAUCAGUCUUCAAGAGCCUCCCAGCGCAGUGUCUCUCCAAGUUGUAGUCAUCCGUCCUUCAGUCCUUUCAUCCUUCGCUUCUCUGUACUUGUUGUUUCUGCCACUGUCUCCAAAGUCGCUCCCGUUCAGCAAGUCCACACCGAAGCCCUACGCCAGCGGACGACUGAGUGAAGAAGACAUAUUAGUUCCUUAACAGACAGACCCUCAACCCCUGCACCCUGUCUGCUUUUACAGCCCUACAGCAGGUUUUUUUUCUUGUACUUGUCUCAUCCCAGUAUUGUUUAAAGUUUAAUUUUCUCCCCAGGACUGUUGUCUUCAUGCAGCCUCAGGUUGUUGAAGUCUGUUUAGUGCACAAAAAAUCAGUUUCCUUUCGACAGAGGUUGUUUUAGGUGUUGCUGCGGCUGUGUCUUUCUUCUCUGGAUUCGCAUAACAAGUGUAAGAAGCAUCAAUCUCAAUGUUGCCGUUGACUUUUAGCAGUGAUUUGAGCAGCUCGUACAUUAAAUUUUCAGUGGAAGACAGCCCACUUGAUGCAGUUCUUGAGGGUGAAGACAAUGCAUUGAAAAACUGCUUUUAUUCCCUAACACACAUGAAAAUCUCUCCCCAUUGAGAAACGGUAAUCAGUUUUUCUGUAUAGCUCUCCAAUUAGAUUUUUGAGUUCAAAUGUUGUUUAACCUUUAGUCAUGAUGGCAAAAGGAGGUAGUUGCUGGCCUGCAUGCCUUUAAAUAGGAUGUCGCAUUCCUACUGUCUGUUGUUUCUGUACUGCACUGCCCCUUUUAUGAACCUGAUCACCUUCACUGUGUGCUGAAUAUGUUUUCCCCAUGUGUUAGUCUCAAAUUUGUUCCAGUGAUUUUUAAUUUGUGCUGAAGUUUGAUUUCUGCAAGGGCUCCUCCAACAGUUUUGAUGUGUUCCUGGCUUAUAUGGUAAGACAGUGGCAGUUUUAUUUUUGAAUAAACCUCUUCAACAUAC